CGGCCACCGCUGCGGCGGAUCUAGUUGUGGCCGUCAGAGCCCAAACCAUGUGUGUCGCGGGCCGUGAGGGGUGCCCGGCGCUGCUGCUGCUGCUGCUUCUGCUCCUGGCUGGGCCCGCGGUGUCCGCCCCGAACCCCGCCUCGCCUCCUCGGGUACCGGCCCCGCCGCGCUUCAACGUGAGCCUGGACACGGCCCCGGAGCUGCGCUGGCUGCCUGUGUUGCAGCACUACGACCCGGACUUCUUGCGCGCGGCCAUGGCGCAAGUCAUCGGGGAGAGGGUCCCCAAGUGGGUCCAGGCGCUGGUAGGGGAGCUGGAGCACUUCCUGCCUCAGCCCUACACAUUCGAGAUUCGUGGCAUGUGUGAAGCCCUGAACCUCAGCACGGGCGACUGCCUUCUUAUCAACCUGGCCUACGAGGCCACCGCAUUCUGCACCAGUAUUGUGGCUCAAGAUUCCAAAGGUCACAUUUACCAUGGCCGGAAUUUGGAUUAUCCUUUUGGCAAUAUCUUACGCAAGUUGACCAUGGACGUGCAAUUCUUAAAGGAUGGGCAGAUUGCAUUCACAGGAACCACUUUUAUUGGCUAUGUAGGAUUGUGGACUGGUCAGAAUCCACACAAGUUUACAGUUUCCGGCAAUGAACGAGAUAAAGGCUGGUGGUGGGAGAAUGCAAUCGCUGCUCUUUUUCAGAGACAUUCUCCAGUCAGCUGGCUUCUACGCACUACCCUGAGUGAGUCAGAAAACUUUGAAGCAGCUGUUUUCAAAUUGGCCAAGACUCCUAUUAUUGCUGAUGUUUAUUAUAUCAUUGGUGGCACGUCCCCCCAGGAGGGAGUGGUCAUCACAAGGAACAGAGGUGGCCCGGCAGACAUUUGGCCUCUAGACCCUUUGAAUGGAGCGUGGUUCCGAGUGGAGACUAAUUAUGACCACUGGAGGCCAGCGCCCAAGACCGAUGACCGAAGAACAACUGCCAUUAAAGCCCUUAAUUCCACAGGCCAGGCAAACCUUAGUCUGGAGACACUUUUCAAGGUAAUUUGUGUUGUGACGUCCAGCUUCCACCCAAGAUGCUUGAUGUCUUUGUUAAUAGUGAUUGGACUAUAUCACCCAGCAGCAUCCACCUGAAAGUAAAGAGCUAGUAUGGUUUUGUUUCCUUCCUUCUGUGUUUGGGCAUUUCCUGGUCUGGAAGAUCCCUGAGGGCACAGCAUAGACUCUGGCCUUGGUUUAGCCCUCUCGGUGGCAACAGAGACCCCACACCAGCAUCUACAAGGACUUAACCCUACACCAGCAUCUACAAGGACUUAAAGACCCAGGACACUUUUUCAUUGGUUUUGUCAGUGGUUCCAGUUUAUAACAACCUUACAAUUUAUACUACGGUAAUGAGCGCUGCCAACCCAGACAAGUACACGACUAAGAUCAGAAACUUGGGUUAAAAGUGAUUUUUUAAAAAUGAAAUUCUUGAAGAACUGCACUUUAUGAAGUAAAACAAAAUACAAGUAUUAUAGUAUUUUAUGAACCAAAGACUCCUUCCACUUUAAACUUUUCAACCUUGUGAAGUGGGGGGUGGGGGAGUGGAGAGGAUCACUUUGGAGUUUAUUUUUGUAAGUAGUAGAUGUUUUGCUUUCUCAUUUCUUCUUGGUUUGCUUGACCCUCCCUAUUCUUCUAUCCUGUCUUGAACAACUCAAAGAUAAAUGGUCACAGACGUCUUUAUCCCCAGCUUCUGAUGAUAAAAUAGAGCCAUGCUAUUAGAUCUCAGCUUAUCCACUGAAGAAAUGAGCUGGCAAGACCUCUUGUUCUCUGCAAAGUGCUUAUGAAAGAGCCUAAGAAAAGAGGGUCCCUUCUAAAAGAAACGGAGAACUCUUGUUUGAAUAGAGACUUGUUUGAAUGUUAGUCUGACCUUUGAUCAUGGAUUUCCAUGUGAAGAGAUUCUCAUUUUUUAAAUGUUCCUAAUGUUUUAAAAACCGGGUGGACCUCGUUUUUAAUAAAUAGCUACUUACUGCUUUCUGAAAACAAUGUGAAACCAAAUUCUUUCUGAUUGUCACUUAUCAUUGGUUAAUAAAAUGUUGAAAGAGAUGCUGGCAAAGAGAAUAAAAACAUUUUUCAAGAUA